rnacentral:rRNA from 1 species
AGCAGCCGCGGUAAAUUCCAGCUCCAAUAGCGUAUAUUAAAGUUGUUGCAGUUAAAAAGCUCGUAGUUGAAUUUCGGGAUUGACACAUCGGUCGUGCCUUAAGGGGUAUGAACUGGUGUAGUCAAUUUCUCACCUUCUGGAGAACCACGAUGCCCUUAAUUGGGUGUCGCGGGGAACCAGGACCUUUACUUUGAAAAAAUUAGAGUGUUUAAAGCAGGCAUUUUGCUUGAAUACAUUAGCAUGGAAUAAUAAAAUAGGACGGCAUGAUUCUAUUUUGUUGGUUUCUAGGAUCACCGUAAUGAUUAAUAGGGAUAGUUGGGGGCAUUAGUAUUCAAUUGUCAGAGGUGAAAUUCUUGGAUUUAUUGAAGACUAACUACUGCGAAAGCAUUUGCCAAGGAUG